rnacentral:rRNA from 1 species
AUGAAACUGUUGUCACCAGACCACAAAAAGUACAUCAUAUCAGAAACCAGUCUUGGCGGUCUAACCCAGAUGCAUGAAGUGACUCUAUGGCGCAUAAUGUUGGUUAGACUAUCCAAGAGCAUAGAUAUGGACACCCAAUCCAUUACCAUCGGAAAAACGCCAAUUCCUAUAACAAAAGAGGACGUGCAGUGUAUAUUUGGCAUUCCGAUAGAAGGGGAGGAUAUAGAGCCACAUCUGGAAAUGCAAACCGACACAGAAUUGUUUACCGCCUAUGCAAACAAUGGGAAAAUUUUGAUUUCUGACCUUGAAACGGCGAUCCGAGCUUCCAAAGCCCCAGACGGAGAUUUCCUGAGACUGUUCAUUCUGUACGCAAUUGGUACUGUACUAGCACCAACAGCACAACAGUAUGUGGACUCGAAAUAUCUCAACCUUGUUACAGAUCUUCAAAACCUUCGGAAAUUUAACUGGGGAUGUUUCACACUUAAUCACUUCUUCAAGUCCGUUCACAAGUUUAGAACUCGAGAUCACGUAAAUCUACAAGGAAAUCUAAUUCUGCUCCAGUAUUGGUACUGGGAGCACGUGCGUAGUGGCUGA